CAAACCUAAGAUAGAAUUCUACGACAAGGACCGCAAGAAGGGCGGAUUGAUCACUCCUGCCAAGACUUACAAUCCUUCAGCUGAUUCCAUUCUUGGACUGACCGAUCCCUUGUCUGAGAAAACUGUGGAAAAGAGUCAAAAAAGGAGAAAGAAUGAAGCAGAUGGGGAAGCUGGCAACGAGGCUCCUGUUGCCGAUGAAGAGAAAAAGAAGAAGAAGAAGAAAAAGAAGUCUGAUGCUGAAGAGACUGCUGCUGUGUCAAAUGAUGAAGUGGGUGGUGCAGAACCUGAAGACGAGGCAGUCAGUAAAAAGGAAAAGAAGAAAAAGAAGAAGCACUUAGCUGGGAAUGCUGAAUUACAAAAUGCAGACGACAAUGUUGAAGCAGACGAGAAGAAGAAAAAGAAGAGAAAGCAUGCCGAGCCCGGGGAAGAAGGUGAAACUCCAAGCAAAAAGAAAGAGAAAAAGAAGAAGAGAAAGAGUGAAGAUUGACGUAAGGAAUAUGUGCUGGGCAACAAAUAUCAACAAUUUUGUGUAAUCUUGUUGAUUAGGCAGUUUUCACUUGUAAAAUCAUGCUCUGCGGUCAGGAUUUAUCAUUGAAACGGAUUUUGGUUUGUGUCUGUUAUUUUUCGUGGGCAAAUUCGAAGACAAUUUUAAGCAAGACAUUAGCUAAGCUAUGAAAUAUUUUUGGGUUAUUUCUACAGCA